CGAGUGGCGAACGGGUGAGUAACACGUGGGUGAUCUGCCCUGCACUUUGGGAUAAGCCUGGGAAACUGGGUCUAAUACCAGAUAGGACCACGUCUUGGAUGGUGUGGUGGAAAGUUUUUUCGGUGUGGGAUGAGCUCGCGGCCUAUCAGCUUGUUGGUGGGGUAAUGGCCUACCAAGGCGUCGACGGGUAGCCGGCCUGAGAGGGUGUACGGCCACAUUGGGACUGAGAUACGGCCCAGACUCCUACGGGAGGCAGCAGUGGGGAAUAUUGCACAAUGGGCGCAAGCCUGAUGCAGCGACGCCGCGUGGGGGAUGACGGCCUUCGGGUUGUAAACUCCUUUCGCCAGGGACGAAGCGUCAGUGACGGUACCUGGAUAAGAAGCACCGGCUAACUACGUGCCAGCAGCCGCGGUAAUACGUAGGGUGCGAGCGUUGUCCGGAAUUACUGGGCGUAAAGAGCUCGUAGGUGGUUUGUCGCGUCGUUUGUGUAAUACCGCAGCUUAACUGCGGGGUUGCAGGCGAUACGGGCAUAACUUGAGUGCUGUAGGGGAGACUGGAAUUCCUGGUGUAGCGGUGGAAUGCGCAGAUAUCAGGAGGAACACCGAUGGCGAAGGCAGGUCUCU
rnacentral:rRNA from 1 species